AGUGAACGCUGGCGGUAGGCCUAACACAUGCAAGUCGAACGGCAGCACAGGAGAGCUUGCUCUCUGGGUGGCGAGUGGCGGACGGGUGAGGAAUACAUCGGAAUCUACCUUGUCGUGGGGGAUAACGUAGGGAAACUUACGCUAAUACCGCAUACGACCUUCGGGUGAAAGUGGGGGACCGCAAGGCCUCACGCGAUUAGAUGAGCCGAUGUCGGAUUAGCUAGUUGGCGGGGUAAAAGCCCACCAAGGCGACGAUCCGUAGCUGGGCUGAGAGGAUGAUCAGCCACACUGGAACUGAGACACGGUCCAGACUCAUACGGGAGGCAGCAGUGGGGAAUAUUGGACAAUGGGCGCAAGCCUGAUCCAGCCAUACCGCGUGGGUGAAGAAGGCCUUCGGGUUGUAAAGCCCUUUUGUUGGGAAAGAAAUCUUGCCGGUUAAUACCUGGCGAGGAUGACGGUACCCAAAGAAUAAGCACCGGCUAACUUCGUGCCAGCAGCCGCGGUAAAAC
rnacentral:rRNA from 1 species